rnacentral:rRNA from 1 species
CUCAAGAUGAGAUUUCCCAUAGCGUAAGCUAGUAAGACUCCUGGAAGAACACCAGGUUGAUAGGUCAGAGAUGUAAGCAUGGCAACAUGUUAAGUUGACUGAUACUAAUAAGUCGAGGGCUUGACCAAAUAA